GAACGCUGGCGGCGGCCUAACAAUGCAAGUCGAGCGGAAACGAAGAGGUGCUUGCACCUCUGGCGUCGAGCGGCGGACGGGUGAGUAAUGCUUGGGAAUAUGCCUUAUGGUGGGGGACAACAGUUGGAAACGACUGCUAAUACCGCAUGAUGUCUACGGACCAAAGUGGGGGACCUUCGGGCCUCACGCCAUAAGAUUAGCCCAAGUGGGAUUAGCUAGUUGGUGAGGUAAUGGCUCACCAAGGCGACGAUCCCUAGCUGGUUUGAGAGGAUGAUCAGCCACACUGGGACUGAGACACGGCCCAGACUCCUACGGGAGGCAGCAGUGGGGAAUAUUGCACAAUGGGCGCAAGCCUGAUGCAGCCAUGCCGCGUGUGUGAAGAAGGCCUUCGGGUUGUAAAGCACUUUCAGUAAGGAGGAAAGGUUAAGUGUUAAUAGCACUUAGCUGUGACGUUACUUACAGAAGAAGCACCGGCUAACUCCGUGCCAGCAGCCGCGGUAAUACGGAGGGUGCGAGCGUUAAUCGGAAUUACUGGGCGUAAAGCGUACGCAG
rnacentral:rRNA from 1 species